GAAGGGGAUAACACCUGGAAACAGAUGCUAAUACCGUAUAACAACAAGAACCACAUGGUUCUUGUUUGAAAGCUGGCCUUUGUGCUAGUGCUUCUGGAUGGACCCGCGGCGUAUUAGCUAGUUGGUGAGAUAAUAGCUCACCAAGGCAAUGAUACGUAGCAGACCUGAGAGGGUAAUCUGCCACAAUGGGACUGAGACACGGCCCAUACUCCUACGGGAGGCAGCAGUAGGGAAUCUUCCACAAUGGACGAAAGUCUGAUGGAGCAACGCCGCGUGAGUGAAGAAGGGUUUCGGCUCGUAAAACUCUGUUGUUAGAGAAGAACAGCCGUGAGAGCAACUGCUCACGGUAUGACGGUAUCUAACCAGAAAGUCACGGCUAACUACGUGCCAGCAGCCGCGGUAAUACGUAGGUGGCAAACGUUGUCCGGAUUUAUUGGGCGUAAAGGGAGCGCAGGCGGUUUAUUAAGUCUGAUGUGAAAGCCUUCGGCUUAACCGGAGAAGUGCAUCGGAAACUGAUAAACUUGAGUGCAGAAAAGGAUAGUGGAACUUCAUGUGUAGCGGUGAAAUGCGUAGAUAUAUGAAGGAACACCAGUGGCGAAGGCGGCUAUCUGGUCUGUAACUGACGCUGAGGCUCGAAAGCAUGGGUAGCAAACAGGAUUAGAUACCCUGGUAGUCCAUGCCGUAAACGAUGAAUGCUAGGUGUUGGAAGGUUUCCGCCUUUCAGUGCCGCAGCUAACGCAUUAAGCAUUCCGC
rnacentral:rRNA from 2 species